rnacentral:lncRNA from 1 species
AACAGGCACACCUCCACCCACACCAAGCACACCCAAAUCAACUCCCUCGACACCGGAGACUCCCACCCCCAUCACCACCACCACCAGCCCUCCGAGCACAACAACAACAACAACAGUUACUGGAUCACCAACUCCUGGAAGCACACCUCCACCCACACCAAGCACAGCACCCACUACACCAGAAUCAACAACAAGAUCCUUGCCACCGGAGACUCCCACCACCACUGCCAGCACCACGAUGCCCCCCAGCACCACCACCAGCAUCAGCACCCCGAGCACAACGACUGUUACUGUAUCACCAACUCCGUUUUCAACUACUCCAAGCACAUCCACGCCCACACCAACAUACACCACCACCACACCAACUCCAGCCCCACCUACGUCCACACCGAGCACACCAAAAUCGACAACGACUCCCUCAACACCAGAGACUACCACCACCACCACCACCAGCCCUCCGAGCACAACAACCACUGUUCCUGGACCAACAACUACUACCUCAACUCCUGGAAGCACACCUCCACCCACACCGAGCACACCAAAGUCGACAACAACUCCCUCAACACCAGAGACUACCACCACCACCACCACCAGCCCUCCGAGCACAACAACCACUGUUCCUGGACCAACAACUACUACCUCAACUCCUGGAAGCACACCUCCACCCACACCGAGCACACCAAAGUCGACAACAACUCCCUCAACACCAGAGACUACCACCACCACCACCACCAGCCCUCCGAGCACAACAACCACUGUUCCUGUACCAACACCAACACCCACUUUGACUACUUCAAGCACAUCCUCACCAACACCAACAUACACGACCACUCUACCAACUCCAGGUAAUUCUCUGGCCUGUGCUGUUGUUUGUUCCCUUCCUGUGCUUGCCCUGAAGGUACAUGAGCACCUCAAAUUCUUCCUCUCAGAUGGAUGUGGGGUGAGUGUAACUGCAGGGUAACAUUGGAACAGCCUUUGCUUAAAACUUGCCUUUCAUCUGGCUGUUUAAGAAGGAACAAGGUUUUGGAGUUCUGGGGAAAAAAAUCCUGGCUUCCCUGACAUAAUAGAUUACAAGGAGAAAUUUUGUGCUGCUGCCUAGCUUACACAGAUCUUGAACUGAUGGGAAAUCUUGCCUUUUUUGCUGCUGGACCUUGUUCUUCAGCUGGCCCAAAUGUAGCCACUGCAUGCCUUUAAUUUUUUUGGCUCUGGCAUUUUAGGCACUGUUUAAACAUAGCACUCUAGACGUUCUUCCCUCUCUCCUGUUUCUUUGUCCU